GGAUUGCCUUAGUAACGGCGAGUGAAGCGGCAACAGCUCAAAUUUGAAAUCUGGCCUCUUUGGGGUCCGAGUUGUAAUUUGGAGAGGAUGUUUCGGGUACGGUCCGGGCUUAAAUUUCUUGGAACAGAAUGUCACAGAGGGUGAGAAUCCCGUCUGGAGUCUGCGACACGGCCUAUGUGAAACUCCUUCGACGAGUCGAGUUGUUUGGGAAUGCAGCUCUAAAUGGGUGGUAAAUUUCAUCUAAAGCUAAAUAUUGGCCAGAGACCGAUAGCGCACAAGUAGAGUGAUCGAAAGAUGAAAAGCACUUUGAAAAGAGAGUUAAACAGUACGUGAAAUUGUUGAAAGGGAAGCGCUGGCAACCAGACUUGCGCGUCGGGGUUCCCCCUGGCUUCUGCCUGGGCUACUCCCCGGCGCUCAGGCCAACAUCGGUUUUGGGGGUCGGUUAAAGGCCCCGGGAAUGUACCUACCCUUCGGGGUAGACUUAUAGCCCGGGGUGUCAUGCGGCCACCCGGGACCGAGGAACGCGCUUCGGCUCGGAUGUGGCGUAA
rnacentral:rRNA from 1 species